rnacentral:lncRNA from 1 species
GGGGUGUUUGGGGGAAGCAGCCUCUGUAAAUCCCAGUUUUCAGUACUGCUUGUGCCAUCCAGAGUGUGCUGGGCAGUGGAGGCCCAUCAUUCUGGGACCUGGUUGGGUGGACCUUCGGUGUAUCACAGAUUUUUUUCCCUCCAAGUUUCAGGAGAAACGGAUAAAUUCCUGGACACUUGCAUCCUCCCAAGCCUAAACCAGGAAGAAGUCGAAACCCUAAAUAGACCAAUAACAAGGUCUGAAGUUGAGGCAGCAAUUAAGAGCCUACCACACACAAAAAAGCCCAGGUCCAGAUGGAUUCAUGGCCGAAUUCUACCAGAUGUACAAAGAGGAGCUGGUACCAUUCCUUAUGAAACUGUUCUAAACAAUCCACAAAGAGGGAAUCCUUCCCAAAUCAUUUUAUGAGACCAACAUCAUCCUGAUACCAAAACCUGGCAGAGAUUCAGCAAGAAAAGAAAACUUCAGGCCAAUAUCCAUGACGAACACAGAUGCAAAAAUCUUCAAUAAAAUACUGGCAAAUCAAUUGCAACAGCACAUCAAAUAGCUUAUCCACUAUGAUCAAGUAGGCUUCAUCCCGGGGAUGCAAGGCUGGUUCAACAUACGCAAGUCUAUAAACGUAAUUCACCACAUAAACAGAACCAAAGACAAAAACCAUAUGAUGAUCUCCAUUGAUGCAGAGAAGGCCUUUGACAAAUUCAACAGCCCUUUAUGCUAAAAACCCUCAAUAAACUCGGUAUUGAUGGAACGUAUCUCAAAAUAAUAAAAGGUAUUUAUGACAAACCCACAGCCAAUAUCAUACUGAAUGGGCAAAAACUGAAAGCAUUCCCUUUG